CCUACGGGGGGCUGCAGUGGGGAAUAUUGGACAAUGGGCGCAAGCCUGAUCCAGCAAUGCCGCGUGGAUGAAGAAGGUCUUCGGAUUGUAAAGUCCUUUCGGCGGGGACGAUGAUGACGGUACCCGCAGAAGAAGCCCCGGCUAACUUCGUGCCAGCAGCCGCGGUAAUACGAAGGGGGCUAGCGUUGCUCGGAAUGACUGGGCGUAAAGGGCGCGUAGGCGGAUUGAUUAGUUAGGCGUGAAAUUCCUGGGCUUAACCUGGGGGCUGCGCUUAA
rnacentral:rRNA from 1 species